GUAGGUGAACCUGCGGAAGGAUCAUUAACAAAUCUUUCAACACAAACCCUGUGUAAACGUUUGCGUUCCCUUGUGUGUGUGGUGGUGUGAGUGAUGCGUGCUAGGUAACACUAGCACCCCAGAGCUCACAGCUACCUCCAAGGGAUCGUCUUUAUUAUACUAUUGAUUGACAGCCUAGAUACAAAGUUAAUUAAAACAACUUUUAACAAUGGAUCUCUUGGCUCUU
rnacentral:misc_RNA from 1 species